GAGCAACAGAGACAUGUGGUUUUAUGAGGCAAGUUGUGGUUUACAGAAAAGUACAACACAAACUUUCAACCAGCCAGAAAGUUCUGGUUAAUUAAGGAAAGCACUGACUCACAAAAAAAAAAGGUAAGAGAAAGAUAUAAUUACGGGUGUUCGAAAGAGAGAAAGGAAUCCAUUGGCUUGAUUAAGAGAGAUAGAGAGAGGAGGAGAUAUAUCAUAUAUGUAGAAACAAGAGGAACUUCAAAGGGAAGAGAAGAGACUCCGAGGAGAAGAAAAAAGAAGAUUUAACACCAAUAAAGAAUUGGGUUUUUGUUUGUUUGCUUUGUUGCUUGAUUGACUGUCAGAGAAUUUGAUGCUCGUGGGUUUGAUCAGUUGAUGAAUUUUUAAGGAGCAGUCGUGAACUUGUGAUGGUCAUACAAGUCAAAGUUGCUUCUUUGAUACAUGAGAAGUUGCACCCUUGAAGGUUUGAUGUUCUUUAAUGCCACUGGUAGGGUUGAAGGACUUGCAUUGCAUUGGUUUGCUUUGAGCAUGAUACAUCCUUCGUUUUAAUGUUUAUUUAUGUGUGUGUUCAGAAGAGAGUGAGGAAUACUAGAAUAGGGUACGGUGGACAGUAGACUCAGCCUUAAGGAUGGGCUUGCCUCAGUUCUCCUCCAGCAGCAUUUCUGAGGAAGUAGCCACAUCUUUGAGCACAAUUGUGCAAACUUCACCUCGAAUUGUUGGUGUGAGCAGUUGUGAUUUGAGUGGGAUGCAUGGAGGAAACCUUGGACAUCGAAGGCAGAUAGAAAUGCCCUGCACUUCUUUUACAGAUUUGCAAAAGAAAACCAUUGUAGAGAAUAAGGAUGGCUUGUUAAGUCAUAAAAGUGGACAGAAUGUCCAGACACCUGUUCCUAGGAUCAUUGGUUUUGAAUCAAAGGGAUUGAAUUCUCCUGUUAGUGUAUUUAAUGGAAACCAAACUGCCUCUUCUGUAGUUACUAUCAGGAGUAAGGCAUUUGAGUCCAGUGGGUCAGACAAGAAGCGGUUAUUAUCUCCUCUUAGUGGGAUGCUUCACCCUGAUCAAUUUAACGGUGCUUCCCUAGACAUUGGAGAUGGUAUUUGUAAGAAUAAUCUUUGGGGUAGUAAGGACAAUUACAAGGUUUCUAUGUCACAAGAACAUAAGAAGGCUCAUAUUGGAAAUUCCAGUUAUUCAAACUGGUCUGCAUCUUGUCUUCAAGAAUGGAAGAAUUCACCUGAUGAUACUUGUAGGGAAAACUCCCUUUUCUUUUUUGAUGGCCCUGUGUUUGAUGGCCCUGUGCUUGAGACAGAGCUCAAGCCUCCUGAUCAGUUUUUUUAUCCACAUGGACUUAAUUAUUUUGAAGAAACAAUGAAGGUAAAGCAUCAAAUCAGCGCUAUUGCAAUUCCCUUAAUAAAAGCAGCAUCACCUCCCUUGUCACUGUCUCCUCUUGGUCCAAAACUCUCUAAAGGAAUAAAAUCUCCAGGAACGGGCACCAAUAUCACCAGAGAGCUUGAUGAUGACUAUCUAGCCUUCACGGAUAUAGAACAGUCACUUAAUGGAACAGUCUCUGGCAUUUUAUCUUCCCGGAAGGAUGGGGGUUUUAAAAUGCUAGAUGAAUCAUUAGAUAAUUUUGAUAAUCUGCGCACAAAAUUUGAUGUUUUCACUCCUGAGAUUACCAGUGGCAUUGGACAGCCUUGGUGUGAGGAUUCAAAUCUUGGUUCCCUAAAUGUCAGAUCAUGUAGAAGUUUUACUGGAGUGCCUGUUAGAAGGUCUUUAGUUGGUUCGUUUGAGGAGUCUUUGUUAUCUGGGCAUUUAUCAUCUGGUAAAGUUAGUCAGAGAAUUGAUGGGUUCCUUGCUGUUCUAAAUAUCACUGGAGGAAAUUUCUCUCCGAAGACGCAAAAACUUCCUUUUACAGUAACUAGCAUGGAUGGAAAUAACUACUUACUCUACUAUGCAUCGAUAGAUCUAGCAGGGAAUGUGCAAGCAAACAAGUAUAGUGACCAAAAUAUGAGAAGGAGCCUUAGCAUUGAUGAUUCACGAUCCGAAAGAAGCAGGCUACGGAUACCGAUGCAAGGGCGAAUGCAGUUGGUUCUCAGCAAUCCAGAAAAGACACCUAUUCACACUUUCUUUUGUAGUUAUGAUUUAAGUGACAUGCCAGCUGGCACCAAGACAUGUCUGCGCCAAAAGAUCACACUAUCCUCGUCAGCACCAGCUUCUUUGUCUGUGAAUGGAAGAAACAGAGAUUCUGACAUGGAAACUGAUGCAAAGCCAUCUGCAGUCCCAAAGACUAGUCAUUCUUUACCUCAUGGAAGAGAUGCUACCAAUUCAAAUCGACUUGAAACUGUACAUAAUACAAAAUUCCCUGACCAUAGUAGAUUCAGUAACAGUGAAUGUAAAAUAACUGGUAUGGAGGGCUGCAGCCCUCUAAAUACAUCCCAUUUGUGCACAAGCAAAUCUGUAAAUAGUCCUUCAAAGGUCAAUGAGAACACCACUAGAGCUGGUGUUCUACGUUAUGCUCUUCAGCUCCAAUUUAUGUGUCCGCUUCCCAAGAAAAGUUCGAGGUCACUCCAGAGGUGCAAAUCUGAUCCUUCCUCUGUACCAGCAGCAAACAAGAUGGACAUUGGCGGUGAUCGACGCUUCUACUUGUAUAGUAAUAUGAGGGUAGUCUUCCCCCAGCGCCAUUCUGAUUCAGAUGAGGGCAAGGUAUAAUUUGUUGGGGUUUUUUGUUGUCCUUUAAUGAGUAAAAAUCUUCUUCCUGUGAAAUGCAUGUUGUGAUCUGUUUAUUGUUUGUUGUCUUGAAUGAUACGUAUGGUGGGUAAGCAUUAACCGGCAUGCAUUUUAGUUUCAUGAUGCCCCAUAUGAUUCAACCAUGCUGUUUUGGCUAUCCCAAUCCUUUUCUCCUAACUAAUUGAAAUACUUGGACAAAAUGUUUUAACAAAACGAUAGGCAUUGUUGUGAUUGCAUCCUAACAGUAAGCAAAUACCUUAGGACUGAGUGAUUCAUGCGUGUAUCUAUGGUUUUGGCAUAUGCGUCAUUCUUUUUCUUUUUUGAUUGGUAUGAGUGAUGGAUUAAUAAAGGUGGGAUUCGAACCUGAGAUCUCUCACCUGCCCUUGCCUUUGCAAGAAUACCAUUGAGCUAAAGGUGGAAUACGAUCAUCCGUCAGAUCCAAAGUACUUUGACAUUUAAAAUGCCCUGUAGAUUAUCUUCUCUAAUGUUAAUGUUGUUCAUAACAUUCUUGUACAUUUAUUGUCAUUCUCUGAUGGGGCGGUGAGCCCUUUUUAUUUGUACAGAAUUGUCAUUUUCCUGAUAAUAAGAUUUUUUAACUUGAUGGUUAUCAUGGUCA